rnacentral:rRNA from 1 species
GAAACCAACAGGGAUUGCCCCAGUAACGGCGAGUGAAGCGGCAACAGGCUCAAAUUUGAAAUCUGGCCCCCCGGCCCGAGUUGUAAUUUGGAGAGGAUGCUUCUGGCGCGGCGCCGUCCGAGUUCCUUGGAACAGGACGCCACAGAGGGUGAGAGCCCCGUACGGACGGACGCCUAGCCUCUACGAAGCUCCUUCGACGAGUCGAGUAGUUUGGGAAUGCUGCUCAAAAUGGGAGGUAAAUUUCUUCUAAAGCUAAAUACCGGCCAGAGACCGAUAGCGCACAAGUAGAGUGAUCGAAAGAUGAAAAGCACUUUGAAAAGAGGGUUAAAAAGUACGUGAAAUUGUUGAAAGGGAAGCGCCUGUGACCAGACUUGCGCCCCGCGGACCACCCGGCGUUCUCGCCGGUGCACUCUGCGGUGCGCAGGCCAGCAUCGGUUCUCCCAGGGGGACAAAGGCCGCGGGAACGUAGCUCCUUCGGGAGUGUUAUAGCCCGCGGCGGCAUGCCCCUGGGGGGACCGAGGACCGCGCUUCGGCAAGGAUGCUGGCGUAAUGGUCACCAGCGACCCGUC